GUCUCGAAACCAAAGCAGAGCCGCCGGAGGGAGAUCCACGUGGGUGCUGUACUCCCUCCUCUGUCUGUAGGGUUGCUUGCGGCCCAUAUGCUCACUUCUGCCGUGCAGACACCCUGGCAAUGCCCUCUUGCACAGUGCAAAGGUUUUCACUGGGUAGUCACCCCCUGGGCUGACACUGGCACAAAUGCAAUGUAAAUAUCCCUGGGUCUCACUGGCACAGUCUUAUACGUUAAUUGGCAUGGCCCUGGGGGUGGGGCGGGCAAGUCUGCCAGCUCCUAGCCUCGGUAGCAACCCAGCCUGUUCCAGUGGAUGCCAUCUGGGUGCAAACAGGUCACCACCCCAAUUUCUGCCCGGUUUGUCCCAGCAUCUCCGUCCAUAGGCAGGGACUUCCCCUCUCCUGUACAUAUAUAGUCCAAGACCAACGGAGUUACUAACGGGUCCCCUUCACACCCCAGUGCCUCUGUCUCAUUUG
rnacentral:lncRNA from 1 species